rnacentral:rRNA from 1 species
UUGAACGCUGGCGGCAUGCUUUACACAUGCAAGUCGAACGGCAGCGCGGGCUUCGGCCUGGCGGCGAGUGGCGAACGGGUGAGUAAUGCAUCGGAACGUGCCCAGUAGUGGGGGAUAGCCCGGCGAAAGCCGGAUUAAUACCGCAUACGACCUGAGGGUGAAAGCGGGGGACCGAAAGGCCUCGCGCUAUUGGAGCGGCCGAUGUCGGAUUAGCUAGUUGGUGGGGUAAAGGCUUACCAAGGCGACGAUCCGUAGCUGGUCUGAGAGGACGACCAGCCACACUGGGACUGAGACACGGCCCAGACUCCUACGGGAGGCAGCAGUGGGGAAUUUUGGACAAUGGGGGCAACCCUGAUCCAGCCAUGCCGCGUGCGAGAAGAAGGCCUUCGGGUUGUAAACCGCUUUUGUUCGGGAAGAAAUCCUCUGGGCUAAUACCCCGGGGGGAUGACGGUACCGGAAGAAUAAGCACCGGCUAACUACGUG